rnacentral:pre_miRNA from 1 species
UUGAAGACUUGAAAACUUUAACUUGCAGACUUGAAGAAUUUGAAGACUUCAACUUCCAGAAUUAAAGAAUUUGAAGACAUCAACU